CUGGCUAGGCCUCCGACUCCUAGCUGGUCUUCUGAUCCUCCGACUGCGCUCUUUCCACUUCGAGUAGUGGCACGCCUUGCAGUACACCUAUUGCAUGCAUAUUCAUUCAGUAAGUAGACAUGUUUGCACGAUGAUGACAUGAUGGAUGCUAAACAUGAUAGUUCACACAUCUAAACUUCACUGGACACUUAUUUACUGAGUAAAGCCCAGCUCUAUUCAAAUCACUUUAACCAUUUAGAUAAACAACUCAUGACCACAACUACACAAGAGCAACCACACAUACCAGGACAAACAACAGCAGCCCAGAAAACCGAUCAUAACAGAAGAUAUAUAAAUCAAAAAGACUUGCUACAAGAUAAUCUGGAAAGCUUAUAAAAUUAUCUACAUUUCAUAUUUAAUCAUCACAGCAAGAUUCAAUUAGCAAGACGGUCAAACAGGCAGAUGACCAGAUCUAGGUUCAGGAAAACAGAGAAUCACUACAAACUGCAUUUCAGCUUUCAACAGCAGUAACUCUUAAACCAUAUGGCCAAAUGUCACCAAAUUUUAACAGAAGCUAGAACAACAAGUUCUCUACAACUUUGGUAUAAACAAGCUCCUCAGAUGACCUAAUUAUUACAUAGUAAUUAGCAAAGUGGCUCAUUGCUGUCCGGAAAAGACAUGCAACCCUUAAGUUAAUUAUUUAAUGACAAAGAAAACACAUGCUUAAGGAAAACCAAGAUGAUCAACAUGAUACACAUAUCAUAACAUUACUAGAAACUAACUUGCUACUUCUAAAACAUUUCAUAAAACACAUUUAUUAAUUAAUUACAUAAAAAGGCAUAAAUAAGAGAUAUUUCUUAAGGUGCUCAGAAAAAUCUACAAAAAUUAUAGGAGCAUAAGCAUGUCAACUAAGGACCAGUAUACAAACUUCAUGGUAAUUGCACAUGCAGAAUUUAAGAUAUUCUCAUUAACAGGUGACAAGGUGUAUUUAGUCAUAAAUAGGAAACUCUAUUGAAAAGUGUCAAACAACAGAUUUCAGAUUAUUCUUAGCAUUAACUUACCAUAAGAACAACAUUUACCAAAACUCAUCAUAAGAGGACUCACAAAUUAAUUAUGAAAAUUCAAACAAAUAUUAAUCAGUUAAAUAAGAAUGAUUCAUAGUUAUAAUAUACAAUACCCAAAACUCAUGAAAUUUAAACUAUAGCCUACUCAUACUACACAAAGCAUGUCAUAAAAUUUUCAUGGCAUUUGAAGCUAUACACAAAGAGAUAUGAGUUUAUUCUUAUUUACACAUGAAUAAAAGACAUAAUUAACAACUAAUUAUUCUUGCAUGAAACAUAGCAUAUUUCAUAUUUUUUAUUAAAAAUUACACUUCUUAGAGAGUACCACAAAAUUUGGAUCACUAGAUUUGGAGCCCUAGAAGUAAAGAUAUGAUUUUUGCAUGUUGGGGCAAAAAUUUGAAUUUGAAUUAAUCAAAGAGAGGGAAAAGGGGAGACUGACACGCGGGGUCCACACGUCAGCAAGAGUAGAGCAGAGGAGAGGUUGACCGAUGACGUACUCACUAUCAGCGAGGCCUUUGGCAAAACCAAGGACACCCUCAUGCUCUACUCGACGAGGCGACUCGAUUGACCCUAUUCUUCCCCGGCGGAGCCACCAGAAGGGGUUCAUCAUCGAUAAUGGCGGCUCAGCGGAGCUGCAUGGCCAUGCGCCGGCGAGCUCAGGCCAGUAGAGCACACAGUGAGGGGUUCUAAAGCUUCAGUGAGUGAAGGCAGAUCUUCCUAGGUAGGUGAGAGGAUUGGAGAGGGUACAACUAGGGCUGGCCAUGUGCAUGCGGAACUCCAGCAAGGGUACGGCGGCGCUAAGCGUCGUCUUCAACACCGGUGAGUGAAGUAGAGUGUCCAACAAACAUCAUGGAAGAUCGCUUAGGUCCUAAGGUACCCAAAGGAGAAGAAAGGAGAAGAAGAGCACGACUAGACCGCUCGACAUUGAGUUCAUCGGAGAAUUUGCUCUCUCUAGUGAACUUUGGGGGAAACACGAAAUGUGAUCUCACCGAGGCUUUUCUUGACCAACUCGAGGAUGGACGAGGCGGAGACGACAAUGGCACAACUGUGGGAGGAGUUGGGCGAGUGGAGGAGCUUCGAUGAGCGUGCACGAGCGUGUGAGAGUGGCAUGGUGGCAAUGGCAUUGCCAUGUCUGCCUCUAGAGUGGAGAGCGCGUGAGAGAGAGGUAGAGGGAGGAAGUGGAGUGAGUUGGGGAGAGCAGAGGGGCGCGUGGCGUCCAUGACGGCCACGACAGCCUGACAAGUGGGCCCAACGCUGGUGUACGAGCGCCAGAUGGCAGCCGAACCCUGACGCUGGUUGGCCACGACGCUGACUGAAUCAGCCAUGAGGCCUCCCCAUCGAUGACUAAUAGAGCAACUUCAAUAAUGAUUAACUUUCAAACCAUUGAGAACUGGUCGAUGAUGCAGUUGACAAACUUGGAGAACUACACGAGCUCUACAACUUUGCCAAGUAGAUCAAGAGCUAGAUCAGCAUAGCUUGAGAGAUACAAAGCUCCAAACACUAGAUUAGGCAAACUGUGUUCACCCCGGGACUUAGGAAAAAUUCUGUGUGUUGAAUCAACACUCAAAAUUGAAUUGUGGGCCAUAUUUGAGCAUAUUGUGGUCAUUUUCAUGAGAUGACUCUAAAACAACUUUUGAUCCUUAUAAAAUUUGCCACAACUUUGCUUAAUAGUGCUUAGACCUACAAAGAUUUUAAAUUGUACUUUUAAAAGGUCAAGCAAAAGAGGUCUAGAAGUCAACCUAGGUCAAAGCAUGACUUAGAAGCAUAAUUAGAGCUAAAGAUGAACAUGAACAUUGGUCCUUAAGAUAUCAUAAGCAUAGUUAAGUUGUUUUGGCAGAUCAUAAGCACACACUUGCAUAAGCUACACAUGAGCAAUCACAUAUAUGAGUAUAAAAAAUGAAGAUUAAGUACAUCAAACAUGAAAUGAUGGCACACACAUGAUAUGAUGCUCAUGAUAUGAUAUGAAAAUGCUUGCUCUUGUUAUGCAAGUGAUUAGAUGCAACCAUAACACUUGGUUGUUACAUUCGAAAGGGCCUCUAUCAAUUUGCCAUUGAAUGGUAAUAGAAGGUGAAUCCAAACAGAUCACAUCAGAAGAAAGCUCUAAUUCUUCUAACCACUCAUGGCUAAUUACAGACACUAAGUUUUGCGUUGUCUGUUUUAGGAAUGCUUUGUCUAAGGGGUCAUAAAGUUCUUGAAUUUACGCUUUCUUGAUCUUCCUAGGCUUCCUAUGGUAAUUCGAGGUGUUUCCGUAUUCGACAUAAAGUUUAUCCUCAAAAUUGAGCAUGAAGUCUUCAAACUUGGUAUCUAAUGGCUCGGAAUCUAUAAUAGCUGAAGGUUGUGAUGGUUCUGGCAAAAUUUUAGCUUUAGCAAAUGUUAUUUAUUCUUCUACAAAAUUCUCUCCUGGCUCUAAGGGUGUCAAAUGCCCCAAUCCUUUAGUGGAACUAGAUUUGAAUGUAUUGAUGAAAAGAAUUAAAGAGUGGCCUUUCAUGUUGUUUCUGCUCUCCAGAGCUCAUGACCCAUACCAUUAGUCAUCCAGGAUCUUGUCAACAAAGAUUUGCAACUCCUAGUUCAUAAUUUGUAAAUUUUAUGAAUUUUAUCUUUUGAUCUCUAUGUGGGUUGCCUUAGGUAAAGAAAUAACUAGGAAUAUAAUUUGUAUCUUGGAUGAUCACAAGAUCUCUAAUUCACCACAUGUCAUCAGUUGAGAAAUAUAUGGCCAUCCCAAUCAUUGGAGUCUCACUUAUGUUGGUCAUAUCAAAUAAAAUCUAUGUGGUGAUCUAUCUACCUUGGUGGUGGUAUGUUUCCUUGGCAUAUUCCAUUUGUUGAAAAUUUAUGAUGUCUUGACCAAGAUAUAGGAUGAACUCCUCUUGACUCAUAAACCGAUUCAAAUGUACUUUACAAGUAGUUUGAGUACUUGCUGCAUAUAUUAAGGGGAGCCCAUUCUAUGUAUUAUGUCUUUGAGAGUAACAUUUUAUUCUAGUGAAUUUGUGUAGUCUCUCGGUGAGAGUGAGUUUCUCAUGGGUAUGCUACAUUAACUCAAUCCAAAUGGGUAAAGUUAUCUCUCAUAUUUACUUAGGCUGUAAUUUUACCUCUUAAGUAGCUACUCUCCAUAAUAUAGCUUAAAUUCCCUUAUUUGGACUUAAUUGACCAAAAGUGCAUAUGUUCUUGUCUUCCACAUAUAUAUGUAUGCACUAUCAAAAAGAGUGAAUUUAGUCUAUGUUAUGAGGUUUUGCAAUUAGUGACUUACAUACCUUCCACAUCCAAAAGAUCACUAGUUGUGAAACUCUAGCUUGUGCAAUUUGAUGCUAUCUCUUGUCUUAUGAGCAUUAUCUAGGUGACAAUAUGAGAUACAAGCACCCAUCCAAUUGGCAUAACCUUUUGAAGAUUCCUUCAUUUGGUGUCAAAAUUUUGAAGAUCAUAUUUCAAUUGGUAUUGGUGGAUAACUCAAUCUGUCAUAUCAAGAAAUAUGUAUUCAAUUGGUAUCUCAAAAUGACAACAAGAGCUGCCAAUGGACUUUCAAUUGAAAUCAAGUACAAGCUUGUGAUAUCUCCUAUAAUCAAGAGAGAUGGGCACAAAUGAAGUCUUUUUGCAUUUUGCCAAGCCCAUCAAAGCACUAAAUUCAUAAUAUCAUGAUCACAGAGGAGAUUAUAAGGUUUAGAACACAUGUAUAUCGCUCCAUGAACUCUUGUAUUAUGUUUGUGUAUCUAGGCCCUUACAUGCUAGUGUGGUGCAUGUGUAUGCAAUAUUUGAGUCACACCAUGAGUUUGUUCUUAUGGUGAAGUUUAGAGAAUGAGUUAGAUAUUUGGUUGACACCUCUUAUGGUGAUGAAGUGAGUUUGUAUACUUUGUUUGGUAGAAAACUCAAGAGAGAAUCUUGACUUAAAGUGUUGUAUAGUUUGUUUGGUAGAAAACUCAGGAGAUAAAUCCUAUAUGCUAAACUUUUAUCUACCUCUUGCCUUCACUUGUCUACCACUAUUUCUUCCUUUUGGUGGAUAGAUUUUUUUUGGAGAUUAAUGCCAAAGGGGGAGAAAUAUUCAGAGAGAGUGUAAGCGAGGAGAAGAGAUUAUGUGGAUUGAAAGGGUAAAGGAGUAUAUAUAUAUAUAUAUAUAAAUAAAUAAGAUUUUUAAUUUUUUUGUGGUGUGUGCAAGGAUAGUUUAUGCUCUUGAUAAGGACCAUUUAUGCUAGUGUGUGAUAUUCUUGCCUUGAGUGGUGCUUGCCUUUAUUUCUGUGCUGUUUUGGUAGGUGCGGUAGUGCCACCCUUCUGGUGCACCCUUUGCUGGCCAGCAAACUUUGAGUGCAUGACUUGCCAUGAGCAUCAUGUUUAUCAUGUUGACACCUUGCAUCCCACGUAUACUAAGAUAUAGGAGAGUUCUCACACUUUAUCUUGAAUAUUGUAUUUGGCAUUUGAGGCUGAAGUUUGAAAUUCCAUAUAGGCACACAUUUAGUGGAGCUCACUAUAUCAUAGGAUUCAAAAAUCUUAUGAUUUAUCAAUCUCUUAUAAGCUUUAAUUAUGUUGUUAUUAAUCACCAAAAAGUGGGAGAUUGAAAGUGCAUCUAGCCCUUUUUGGGUUUUGGUGAAUUGAAUAACAACAUGAUUAAAGGUCUAAUAUGUUUGCUAAGUGUUGAACAUGAUAUUGAGUGUAUUGUAUAUACUUGUGGAUUGUGUAUUAACAAGUAUGUUCAAGGUUCAACAAGUAGGCAAACUUGAUGAUAUGCCACAUAGUGUUGAAAUAAAGGCCAAAUUAUGUAUUGCAAAAGACAACAAUGCAAUCCUACUAUUUCUCUCCUUCCAUUUAUUGAUGUAUGGGGCUCACAUGUCAAUUUCUUCUCCAUCACCAUGCAUUGAGGGAAGGAGAAGAGCUCUCCAACCAGGUGGGCAAGGCAUGGUCAUGGGGCUGCAGUGGAUGAGCUUGGGCGACAACUAGCAUAGAAGCUGCCAUUAAACUCCAUCUAGAGCUUGGUGACAGAUUGUAGUACUACUACACCAAUAAUAAGUGUUUGACUUGGGGUAAGCUAGCUUGGCCGUGGUGGCGAUUGAAUGGCAUCGUGGCAUCUGUUCUAGUCACAUACAACAACACAGAGAGGAACAUGGCCUACCCUAGCUAGUUGUGCAUGCAAGUAUGUAGCAACCUACACAGAGCCGAUGUGGAGCGAGAUGGCGAGGCCACCCAUCAACGUGUGUGUGUGGCUCAGCUUCAGUGGCGAGCAGCAAGACCCCCAUCGACACUCGACAUACACGCGUGCUCAGCAUGGGUGAGUAGCUAGGCGACUAUCGAUGAAAUAUGGUCGGCAGUCUACCUAGGGGUAUGCCCAAGGUAGUAGAUUAUCGGCAAUAGGUGCGCAAGCUACGAACUAGAUGAUGACGCAAGACACAGACAAUGAUUUUAUCUAGGUUCGGCCAUCGUGAGGGCGUAAUACCUAUGUCCUGUGUCUGAUUAUAUUGAUGAUAUGAGCUCAAAUGAGUUGAGAGAGGUCCCUUAUCCCACCUUAUAUAGUACGAGGGACAAGGUUACAAAUCUAGAAACUAAUCCUAGUCAGUUACAAUUGCCAUAGAUAGUUCGAUAUCAAUUCUUAUUCUAACCGAUCAGGAUCUUGCUUGAUCUUCAUGUCUACCUUCCUUGCGUAGAACUCCAAGUAGAUCGAUCAAGCCACAAAUCAAUCUCGUAAUGGGCCAAUUCUCUCGGCCCAAGUCUAGCCGUAAGGGUAUAGGGGUUUAUACCCCCACAGCUAGUCCCUGAGCACUAUGUAUUGUGAUCUGACACGCCAUCUCGAGCUUCUUCGACCAGUGAAUCUUGACAUUUCCGAUAAGCAAGAGAAUCUCGAGCAGUUACGACGAUAUUUCAACUAGCUUGGAAAUUAGUUGACCACCAUUAAUACCAAAGAAGCAAGUUGUCCGAAUAAUGCAUGGUGCUCUUUGAGAAAAAAGAUUUAUUUCCUGAUGAAGUGUGCACACUUUACUUUUUUGAAAAGUAUAGGGUUUGAAAAAGCAAGCAUAUUCACCGUAAGGUGAAGUUUGCCCACUUAGUCCCCGAGCCUAGUAGUAGGUGACAUAGACACAUGGUGCCAGGGUCUAAAAAAGAAAAAUUUACGUACAAAUUUUGAUACUAAGAUGCAUCGGUAGGUGCAUCGUACCUAUGUAGUCCCCAAGCUUGCUGGAAGGCGAAGUAUGAGCCUGUAGCAAGGUCUAAAAAUUAAAAUUACCCCUCAGUUGUAUAUGAGUAUAAUUCAUAUGUAACUGAGAGGAGCAGUCCCCGAGCACAGCGUAGGAACUGGUCCACGAGUCCCUGAGCAUGAUUAGGAAUGUAACCGUGCUCGGUGGUCAGAGCAGUCCCUGAGCACAACAUAGGAACUGGUCCAUGAGUCACCGAGCACAGAGUAAGGAUGGGUCCACGAGUCCCCAAGUGUGGUUACGAAUGUAACCAUGCUCGAUGGUCGAAGCAGUCUUCAAGUGUAAAGAUUCCUCCUAUGUCUUAUAGUAAAAUAAUUCCUAGUCCUGUCAACACAUCAUUGACAUUGCUUUGUUCCAACUUCAAAUAGUAGUCCAUCUUCUUUAAAUGUGUCAGUCUGCACACCCCAUCAGCAACAUAAAAAGGCAAGCCCAUGAAAAAUGGGCUAUCCCACACGAGAGCCAGAGUGAGCGUAGGCCCAUCAAUCGACAGAACUACCUAUGAUUUUAUCGAGACAGUAUUGGAAACCAAAACAACGCUCUCACCAUAAACAUCGCAUGUUCCCCUAGAUUUGGGAAGUGGAAAAGUUGGUUGCUGUGUAUAAAUAGCCCUGGACAUUAGCCAAUCUUCACCAAAGGCAGUUGCCAUUUCUCGCCCAAUGCAACAUCUUCCUCCUUAAGCCACUAGCCACCUGAGCAAGAUCCAAAAAACCAACAUCAAGAGCCAAAUGGCCAGAGGCAACUCAAAGAAGAUGUCAGAGAUGAUGUCCAAGGAAUGGUGGAAAUCCAAGUCCACCAUGCAGUCCAUCAAUGAGCUUGUCAAGAUGGGAGUGCUGCACAACUAGGAAUUCGAUGGCUGGAGAGCACCGGUGGGAGAAAGCUUCCCCGACCCGAGACCCAGAGAGAUCGUAGUAUUCAAAGAUUUCUUUAAAAGAGGUUUUGGUGUCCUAGUUCAUCCAUUUCUCCAAGGGUUACUUCUGUACUAUGAGAUUGGGAUCUACAAUCUGCAUCCCAACUUGAUUCUUCUUAUGACCAUCUUUAUCCAUCUCUACGAAGCUUUUGCGGCUAUAGAACCGUACUUCGACCUUUUCUGUUAUCUUUUCUACCUGAGGAAGAAGGGGCUCAUGGGGGAUCCAAGAUUGCUAGUGGAGUAUACCUCAAUCUCAGAGAUGGAAUGAAAACCCAUUAUCUCAGCUGCCCCUGGAAUACCUCCUUGUUGGAGUUUCUACAUCCGCGAGGAGCCCAAUAGUGCCACUUUCUAUGAUGUCAGAUACCAACUAGAGAAGAGAGUAAGCUAGACCGACAGACCAGAGUACGACGGGUAGGUCGAGGAGCUGAUGAACUUGAUCUAGUGGCCUCACUUAGACGGACCAACAGUGGUCGGCAGCUUCAUCUGCCGAAAGAUACAACCAUAUCAGAGGAGGGUCCAUUCCGGGUAUGAGUACCAAGGGAAUGAUGACACUACUCGAAUGAAGGAGAGACUCAAGCAGGCAGAGAUCCAUUGGCGGAUCAUGUAAGUGCACUCAAGCCCUAGUUGUGGGUUUUGGUGAUAAUGACCACACAAUUAGAGGACUAAUGAGAUUUGUUGAGAUGACAAGCAGGUAAAAUAAGAAUGAGGGUAACACAUGAGAUGUGAGAUGGCAAAAGCCCAAUUACCAAAUGAUGUGGUGAUGGACUCAAAGGCAUUAAAAUUAUUUGAUAUUUAAUCUUGAGUUUAGGCUAUGCCGCACUAUAAAGAGGGAUGCAAAUUUAGUUGGUCUGAGGAAGAUAGAGUGCUCAAGUAUUAAAACUAAAUCAAAAGAGAGACACUCUAGCACUUCACGAGCACGUAGAAUAGUUUUUUUAAGACUUGUGGUGUUGGAAGUCCCGACGCGCGUCGGAACUGAUGACGCAUGUCGGAAGUGAUGACGUUCGUCGGAAGUCCCGACACCUGGCCCUCUUGCUACCUCUGCUCGCGCUUGCGUCGGAAGUCCCGACGCGCGUCAAAACUGAUGACGCAUGUCAGAAGUGAUGACGUUCGUCGGAAGUCCCGACACCUGGCCCUCUUGCUACCUCUACUCGCGCUUGCGUCGGAAGUCCCGACGUACGUCGGAACUGAUGACGUGUCGGAAGUGAUGACAUGUGUCAGAACUGAUGACGCGUCGGAACUGAUGACGUGCGUCGGAACUGAUGACGUUGGCUGGUUUUGUAUAGACUUCUGACCAAGUGAACAGUGUUUUUAGUAUAUGUCGGAAGUCCCGAGAUCCGCGUCGGAACUUCCGACGUAGAUCUGAAUGGUUAGUUUUUAGCUUCUUGUAUAAAUAGCUUUCUCGACGUUUCUAACCGUUAAGGACUCAUUCUAAUCAAUUCACUCACGACCCCAACAGCUCUCAAGCUCUCAAGGCUCUUCUCUCCUCUCCCCUUUGCUCUAAACUUUGAUUCCCUAAGGAUUUGAGUGAUAGGAGAGUAGAUUGAGUGAGAAAAUCAUCUAGCAAGCUUGAGCACUUGAGUUUUUCGUCAAGCCGGUUGGAUUUGCGUCUAUUACUCUUGGGUUAUUGGAACCCUAGCCGGCUAGGCGUCGUCCAAGAGCUCCCGAUCUGUGGGAGGACCUUGGGAAGUUUGUAUUACCCUUGAUUCUCUAGUGAAGAACUCAAGUUUACCUUUGUGGUUGCUUGAGAGAGGCAAGGAGGUGAAAGAGACUCCGACCUUAGUGGUCACCUCAACAACGAGGACGUACGCAAGCCUUAGUGGCGAGCCGAACCUCGGGAUAAAUCUUUGUGUCCCGUGUGCUUAUUGUUGUUGUGAUUACUUGAGAUUACUUGUUCUUUGUUGUCUCUUUCUCUCUCGAGCCAUUUCUUAGGUUUUGGUCCCGAUCUACAAAUUGUGGAAGUUCAAGGUCAAGGAAGCACUUGGUUUACUUCAUCUUACCACUAUAAAGUGGGGUUGUAAGUUAUUGCCUUCACAAAGUUUAUUUAGGCACUUGUAGUUCAUUUCCCGUAGGCGUCGGAACUUCUGACAGUUUGCGUCGGAACUUCUGACAGUUUGCGUUGAAACUUCUGACACUUUGCGUCAGAAGUUCCGACCUGAACUGUCAUAACUUCCGACAGUUGCUGACAAGUGACUUUGAGUUAUGUAGAAAAUUAGUAGAUACGCCUAUUCACCCCCCUCUAGGCUUACCAAGGAUCCUUACAAGUGGUAUCAGAGCCGGUUACCUCGUGUGCGCUUCACCGCGUGAGGUAUGGAGGCCAGAGGAGGAUCGAGCGGUGCAAAGUCUACGGAAGUCCGUCCGGAGGAAAUGGGCUUGCAUGACACUGACACUGAUAGCAGCCAAAUCAGUGUAUCGACAGCAAGCAAUAACACACUUCCUCAUCUCGAGCCUACCGAUGGUGAAAGGGUUCUCGAUGAAGAAGAGAAGAGAAAAAGGAAAGAAGCAAGAAAGCUGAAAAGAGAAGCAAGAGAAAAGAAGAAAGAGUGACAACGAUUAGAUGAGAAGAAAGCAAGAAAAGGAGCUAGAAGGCUCAAGAGAGAAGAAAGAAGAAAGAGAAGGGAAGCUAGGAAGAAGAAAGAAGAAGCCAAAGCUCCCAACACAUCUUCUAGUGAGCUUUCUAGCAGCUCCGAAGAUGGUGAUGAUGAUGAGUCCUAUCAAGUGCAUAGCAAGAAGGACAAGAAAGGAAAGGGCAAGAAGAACGACAACAACAAAUAUGCCGCCGUAUCCUUUAACUAUUCUUCUUUGUCUAUGACUAACCAUGAUCACAAGUCUUUUAUUAAUGUGCCUGCAGGGAAGUUACCUCAUUUUGAUGGGACUAACUUUGCCAAGUGGAAGCACUUGAUGAGAGCUUAUCUUAUAGGUCUCCACCCUGGUUUUUGGGAGGUUGUUUGCAAUGGGUUUGAGUCACCGAUUGAUCCCAAGAACCCAACAUUAGAAGAGAUGAGAAUCAUUCACCUCAAUGGUCAAGCCACAAGUGUGUUGCUUAGUGCUUUGGAUGGUGAUGAGUACAAUAGAGUGAUUGGUGUUGACAUUGCCAAGCAAAUAUGGGAUACUUUGCACCUUGCACAUGAAGGAGUUGACAAGGUAAGGUAGGCAAGAAUUGAUUUGAUGAUGGCCAAGCUGAACCGGUUUGUUAUCUUGGAUGGAGAAGGGCCACAAGAGAUGUUUGAUAGGUUGAUGUCCUUGGUGGGCAAGAUUAGAGGCUAUGGUUGUGAUGAGUUAGAUGAUCAUAAGGUUGUCAAGAUUAUGUUGGAAGCUUAUUCACCAAGAAAUGAGACCGUAGUCACUCUAAUUAGAGACAAGAAGAAGUUUGAGUACUUCACACCAAAUGAUGUACUUGGGAGAAUUUUGACAUUUGAUAUGCAAAGAGAAGAAGCAAAUGAAAGAAAGAAGCUUGGUGAGCUGCAAGCAAAGCUAGAAGGCAUCAAGAUCAACGAUGGUGUAGCUCUCAAAGCCAACAAGUCAACUAAGCAACCCUCUACAAGCAAGUCCAAGUCCAACAAGCAAGCAUCAACUAGCAAGCCCAAAGCACCAAAGCAACUCAAAGAAGUAGAGACAACAUCAUCAUCAAGUGAAGAUGAAAGUGAUAGUGAACAAUAUGAGAAAGUGAAAGAUGUUGCUCUCUUUUUGAGAAGAUAUCAAAAGGGACUCAAAAAGCAAGGUUACAAGGUAGUGAAGAGGAAGUUCCCAAAUAAGAAGAAGAGACUAUGCUACAAUUGUGGAAGCACAGAACAUCUCAUUGCUCAAUGUCCUCAUGAAAUCGAAGACAACAAUUACAAGAGAGAUAAGAAAGAGAGCAAGAUCGACUACAAAAAGAGCAAAAGACACAUGGGAGAAGCUCACAUUGGACAUGAAUGGGACUCAACAAAAGAUAGCUUAAGUGAGGAGGAUGAGAAGAUUGCAACUGUGGCUAUUCACAAGCCAUCCUCCACACCAAGGCUCUUCAACAACAUGUUUGAUGAUGACUACUACUCCCCUUGCAUUUGUCUUAUGGCAAAGGGUGAGAAGGUAAAAUCCAAAUCCAAGCCUUCUCCCCCUAGUGACACAUCUAGUAGUGAUUUAAGUGAUUGCUCUAGUGAUGAUGUGUCUAGUGAUGAAGAAAUUGAUAACAUAACUAAAAAUUUGGAUAGCAAGACCAAACUGUUCAUAACUAAGCUAAUGGAGGAUUUAGAGAGUGUUCAAGCUGAUUUAGAAUCUAGUGAAGAGACUCUUAUCAAACAAGAGAACCUCUACAUUGCUAGCAAGGAAGCUCUUGCAUUAGAGAGAAGUGAGGUGGAAUCCUUGCACAAUGCUUUGGCCAAAGAGCAAGGGGCCCAUGCUAUCACAAAGAAAGCAAAUAUUGCCCUCAAGCAAAAGUAUUGUGACUUAGAUGGAAAGUACAAGCAACUUGAGGAACAAUAUAGCAUUCUUCGAGAUAGCAACUCACAUCCCUCUAAAGCAAAGGAUGCCUCUAUUCCCUCCACUAGUCAAGGUUGUGGAAAAUGUUAUAAUCUUGAUUUGAAUGCUUAUUCCACUAACCUUGCAAACAUGGAGGCUAUGAGAAAGGAGAUUAAUAGGCUUAAUGAGAUCAUUAGUAAGAGUUGCUUGGGUGGUAAGGCUCAAGUGAAUGACAAAAAGGCAAAUGAUCCAAAAGAGCCUCAAUUCAAGCAAGGGAGACAUCCCUCAAUCAAGCAUGGGCUUGGACACACAAUAGGAGCUAAGACAAAUGGAAGAAAGAUAGUCAAUGGCUAUGAGUGUGUCAAGUUUGAAAGGAAGGGCAAAAUUGGUGUAGAGUGGCCUGCACAGAUUGUGACAGUACAACGUCCCCGAGCGGUAGUGCCACAUAGUGGCUAUACCAUGGUGAAGGGCGGUAAUGUCACGCCCCACAAAAAUGGGAAGGCUACCAAUUUUGUUCCUGAUCAAACUAAGCCCGAAAAGAAAGUAACAUACAAGGAAAAGAAGAUUUCCCAAAAGCCAAAGGAAUUAAUAUGGGGAACUCCAAACAAGUAUGCUUAUCAACCAAAGGUCCAUGCACCUCGACAAAGCUUGUCAUCAUGCUUUGUGUUGAAAAGUAACAACCGUGGUGAAGUUGUUGCUAAGUAUGUUGGCAAGGAGACCAAUGUCUACAAGAAUACUUCCAUUUGGGUUCCUAAAAUACUUGUGACUAACAUGCAAGGCCCCAAGUCUAUUUGCGGACCUAAAUCUAGCAACUAAACUUGUUUUGCAGGCAUACUCCUCCGGUGGAUCAAGUUGGGUGCUUGAUAGUGGAUGUACAAAUCACAUGACCGGAGAAAAGAGUAUGUUCCAAUCAUAUACCCCAAAGGUGGACUCAAAUGAGAAUAUUGUCUUUGGAGAUAAUUCUAAGGGGGAUGUGCUUGGUCUCGGUAAAGUUGCUAUAACUCUUGAGCAUUCAAUUACAAAUGUUUUGCAUGUUGAUUCGUUGAGUUACAAUUUGUUGUCCGUUUCUCAAUUGUGUGAGAUGGGCUACAAUUGUCUCUUUACAGAUAAGGGUGUGGAAGUCUUUAGAAGGGAGGAUUCCUCUAUUGUCUUUAUGGGUCAUUUAAAGAAUAAGCUUUACCUAGUUGAUUUCAACAAAAGUAAAGCUAAUCUUGAGACUUGUUUAGUGGCAAAAUCUAGCAUGGGUUGGCUUUGGCAUCGCCGACUAGCCCAUGUUGGGAUGAGGAACUUGGCCAAACUUCAAAAAGAUGAACACAUUCUUGGACUAACAAAUGUUCACUUUGAGAAAGAUAGGAUAUGUAAAGCUUGUCAAGCCGGAAAGCAAGUUGGCGUACCUCACCCACCAAAGAGCAUCAUGACCACCACACAACCAUUGGAGCUCAUCCACAUGGAUCUCUUUGGACCGGUCGCCUACCUAAGUAUUGGGGGUAACAAAUAUGGUCUUGUUAUUGUUGAUGACUAUUCCCGUUUCACUUGGGUAUUUUUCUUGUUUGAUAAGUGCCAAGUUAGGGACAAGAUGAAGACAUUUGUUAGAAGAGCUCAAAAGGAGUUCGGACUCCCCAUCAAGAAGAUGAGAAGUGACAAUGGGACCGAAUUCAAGAACACUCAAGUUGAGGAAUUCCUUGAUGAAGAGGGCAUCAAGCAUGAGUUCUCAAGUCCAUACACCCCUCAACAAAAUGGUGUAGUCAAGAGGAAGAAUCAAACACUCAUUGAUAUGGCAAGGACAAUGCUAGAUGAGUACAAGACUUUGGAUCUAUUUUGGUGUGACGCUGUCAACACCGCUUGUCACGCCAUCAAUCGCCUCUACCUACACAAGAAGUUGAAGAAAACUUCAUAUGAGCUUCUAACCGGUAACAAACCAAAGGUGUCUUACUUUAGAGUGUUUGGGUGUAAGUGUUUCAUACUUAACAAGAAACCCAAAACAUCUAAGUUUGCACCUAAAGUUGAUGAAGGUUUUCUUCUUGGUUAUGGAUCAAAUGAGCAUGCCUAUCGUGUUUUCAACAAAACCUCUGGGAGAGAUGAAAUAGCGGUAGAUGUGACAUUUGAUGAAUCUAAUGGCUCUCAAGUAGAGCAAGUUGAUUCAAGUGUUGUAGGAAAGGAGAAGCCACCUUAUGAUGCAAUCAAGCAACUGACUAUUGGUGAUAUUAGGCCACAAGAAGAUGAAGUUACUGAUGUGGUGGUUUCCCAUGCUGUUGAUGAACAAGUUUUCGCUAAUGUACCUGAUAUUGAGGGGGAGCAAACCCCUAUUGCAGCACAACGGAGUAGCAGUGCCACACCUAAGAGUGGUAGUGCUGCAUCCCCUCCAACAGCAGCAGCAAGUCCAACUCCAAUUCGAGGACAAAACCUACAACCCAUAUUUGAAGAAGAAGAAGUUGAAAAUUUAGAAAGUGACCAAGAGGCCAUCGAGCAUCCAAGACUCAAGCAAAUCAUUCAACGAGAUCACCCCAUCGACAACAUCCUUGGGAGUCUUCGAAAGGGGGUAUUGACACGUUCUCAUUUAGCAAAUUUUUGUCAAUAUUACUCUUUUGUUUCUCCUAUAGAACCAGUUAGGGUUGAAAAGGCUCUUGAAGAUGAGGACUGGGUGAUGGCCAUGCAAGAAGAGUUGAACAACUUUGAAAGAAAUCAAGUUUGGACAUUGGUGGAAAGACCCAAGACGAACGUGAUUGGCACCAAGUGGGUCUUCCGCAACAAGCAAGAUGAAAAUGGAGUGGUGACUAGGAACAAAGCAAGAUUGGUUGCUCAAGGAUUCACUUAAGUAGAGGGCUUGGACUUUGAAGAAACAUAUGCACCAGUGGCAAGGCUUGAGGCAAUCCGAAUGCUUUUAGCCUUUGCUGCCCAUCAUAACUUCAAGCUAUAUAAAAUGGAUGUCAAAAGUGCAUUUCUCAAUGGCCCUAUCCAAGAACUUGUCUAUGUUGAGCAACCACCGGGUUUUGAAGAUCCCAAAUUCCCCAACCACGUCUACAAACUCCAAAAGGCGCUCUAUGGGCUUAAGCAAGCACCAAGAGCAUGGUAUGAAUGCCUUAAGGUAUUCUUGCUCAAACAAGGCUUUAAAAUAGGCAAAGCUGAUCCUACCCUUUUCACUCGCAAAGUCAAUAAAGAUAUAUUUGUGUGCCAAAUAUAUGUCAAUGACAUAAUAUUUGGUAGUACUAACCAUGAGUUUUGUGAGGAAUUUAGUAGGAUCAUGACCAAGAGAUUUGAGAUGUCUAUGAUGGGUGAAUUGAAGUUCUUUCUUGGUUUUCAAAUCAAGCAAUUGAAGGAAGGAACUUUCAUUAGCCAAACUAAGUACACCCAUGAUAUGCUAAAGAAGUUUGACAUGGCGAAUGCAAAGCCCAUCAAAACUCCCAUGCCAGCCAAUGGACAUCUUGAUCUCAAUGAGGAAGGGAAAGCCAUCGACCAAAAGGUAUAUCGCUCCUUGAUUGGCUCUCUACUCUAUUUGUGUGCAUCUAGGCCCGAUAUUAUGCUUAGUGUGUGCAUGUGUGCUAGAUUUCAAGCUAACCCAAAAGAGUGCCACUUAGUGGCUGUUAAGAGAAUCUUGAGAUAUUUAGUACACACUCCUAAAGGCUCUAAGUUUGAUCUACUUGGGUAUUCGGAUUCCGAUUACGCCGGUUGCAAAGUGGAUCGAAAAAGCACUUCGGGGACAUGUCAAUUCCUUGGAUGGUCCCUAGUGUCUUGGAGUUCUAAAAAGCAAAAUUGUGUAGCCCUUUCCACCGCCGAGGCCGAGUAUGUUGCAGCCGGUGCAUGUUGUGCUCAACUACUUUGGAUGAGGCAAACCCUUCGUGAUUUCAGAUGUCAUUUUACCAAAAUCCCAUUAUUGUGUGACAAUGAAAGUGCCAUAAAGCUUGCAAACAAUCCUGUAAGCCAUUCAAGAACUAAGCACAUAGACGUCUGACAUCACUUCUUGAGAGACCACGAAGCCAAAGGAGAUAUCGAAAUUCGCCAUGUGAGCACCGAAAAGCAACUAGCCGAUAUCUUCACUGAGCCUCUUGAUGAAACAAGGUUUUGUGCUUUGCGUAGUGAGCUAAAUAUACUUGAUUCUCGUAACGUGGUUUGAAAUUUAGCACACCAUUGUUUGAUCAACUAGUAUCUAGGCAAAAUGUUUGCAAAAAGGUUCAUAAUGCAGUUCAAAAUGCUUUAUCAAAAGAGAACUUGUAUUUUAUGGUCAUUACUUGUUCUUGUUCAUCUGUUGCUGACCAUAACAUGUUAAGUGUGUUGUAUCCCUCUUUCUUCCUUUAUCACUUUUUGGUGCUUGUUGCCAAAGGAGGAGAAUGAGAGGGGGGUACAAUUUUUUUUCUCUCCUUAGAUGAUUGUGUGCAUACUUGUCAUACGCAUCAUGUAUAUUCCUGUGACACUAUGUGCAGCACCCCACAGAAGCAUGGAUGUAGAGGAAGCCCCAUCACUUAACUCUAUAUGUGAAUUUUGGCCUCUUAUGCAAGUUUGAGAAUUCAAUUCUCCAUUCACAUAUUUAGGGGGAGUCUCUACACACAUGACUUUAAAAUCUCAGUUAUACUUUAAAUAUUUUUGUAAGCUCUAGUUGUGUUGUCAUCAAUCACCAAAAAGGGGGAGAUUGUAAGUGCACUCAAGCCCUAGUUGUGGGUUUUGGUGAUAAUGACCACACAAUUAGAGGACUAACGAGAUUUGUUGAGAUGACAAGCAGGUAAAAUAAGAAUGAGGGUAACACAUGAGAUGUGAGAUGGCAAAAGCCCAAUUACCAAAUGAUGUGGUGAUGGACUCAAAGGCAUUAAAAUUAUUUGAUAUUUAAUCUUGAGUUUAGGCUAUGCCGCACUAUAAAGAGGGAUGCAAAUUUAGUUGGUCUGAGGAAGAUAGAGUGCUCAAGUAUUAAAACUAAAUCAAAAGAGAGACACUCUAGCACUUCACGAGCACGUAGAAUAGUUUUUUUAAGACUUGUGGUGUCGGAAGUCCCGACGCGCGUCGGAACUGAUGACGCAUGUCGGAAGUGAUGACAUUCGUCGGAAGUCCCGACACCUGGCCCUCUUGCUACCUCUGCUCGCGCUUGCGUCGGAAGUCCCGACGCGCGUCAGAACUGAUGACGCAUGUCGGAAGUGAUGACGUUCGUCGAAAGUCCCGACACCUGGCCCUCUUGCUACCUCUACUCGCGCUUGGGUCGGAAGUCCUGACGUACGUCGGAACUGAUGACGUGUCGGAAGUGAUGACAUGUGUCAGAACUGAUGACGCGUCGGAACUGAUGACGUGCGUUGGAACUGAUGACGUUGGCUGGUUUUGUAUAGACUUCUGACCAAGUGAACAAUGUUUUUAGUAUAUGUCGAAAGUCCCGAGAUCCGCGUCGGAACUUCCGACGUAGAUCUGAAUGGUUAGUUUUCAGCUUCUUGUAUAAAUAGCUUUCUCGACGUUUCUAACCGUUAAGGACUCAUUCUAAGCAACUCACUCACGACCCCAACAGCUCUCAAGGCUCUUCUCUCCUCUCCCCUUUGCUCUAAACUUUGAUUCCCUAAGGAUUUGAGUGAUAGGAGAGUAGAUUGAGUGAGAAAAUCAUCUAGCAAGCUUGAGCACUUGAGUUCUUCGUCAAGCCGGUUGGAUUUGCGUCUAUUACUCUUGGGUUCUUGGAACCCUAGCCGGCUAGGCGUCGUCCAAGAGCUCCCGAUCUAUGGGAGGAUCUUGGGAAGUUUGUAUUACCCUUGAUUCUCUAGUGAAGAACUCAAGUUUACGUUUGUGGUUGCUUGAGAGAGGCAAGGAGGUGAAAGAGACUCCGACCUUAGUGGUCACCUCAACAACGAGGACGUACGCAAGCCUUAGUGGCGAGCCGAACCUCGGGAUAAAUCUUUGUGUCCCGUGUGCUUAUUGUUGUUGUGAUUACUUGAGAUUACUUGUCCUUUGUUGUCUCUUUCUCUCUCAAGCCAUUUCUUAGGUUUUGGUCCCGAUCUACAAAUUGGUGGCAGUUCAAGGUCAAGGAAGCACUUGGUUUACUUCAUCUUACCACUAUAAAGUGGGGUUGUAAGUUAUUGCCUUCACAAAGUUUAUUUAGGCACUUGUAGUUCAUUUCCCGUAGGCGUCGGAACUUCUGACAGUUUGCGUCGGAACUUCUGACAGUUUGCGUUGAAACUUCUGACACUUUGCGUCGGAAGUUCUGACCUGAACUGUCAUAACUUCCGACAGUUGCUGACAAGUGACUUUGAGUUAUGUAGAAAAUUAGUAGAUACGCCUAUUCACCCCCCCUCUAGGCUUACCAAGGAUCCUUACAGAUCAACAAGCUCUUCAAUUUGUCUAAUGCGAGCUAUCCUCCGAGCAGCGACCGCAUGCAUGCAUACAAGCUAGACCGACCACUGCCCAAGGUAACCAAAUACAAUGUUUGUCUUGUUAUUCGUACGCAAUUGUUGAAAUAACUGAUCUCAUGAUGUGUGUUCAGCAGGUCAGAGAUCUGGAUAGGGCGACGAUCUAUGUCUUCUUUGCCCCUGGCAUGGAGCAAUCGAUAGGUGUAGACCCACCCAUGUAGAAUGUAGCUCGGUGCUACAUAUAUACUAGUAGCGAUGAGGACACAGAGCAAAGGAUGCCCGCAGCAGACGACCGAGCUACGGGGAAGAGGCCUAUUGCUGCUGGGGCGUUGAGGAAGAAGGGAGAUGCCCCAUAUUAGGCAGGGGGCCCAUAUUCCUUUGCUGGUGAAUAGUCCUUUGUAAACUUAUUGCGCCGACUAACCAAAAUAAAUGCGGAAUUAUCGGUCUAGCCAAGACUACACCCCUCUAUUUAAGUUCUCUAGCACCUUGUAAAAGAUCAUAAACAAGCAAACAAGGUGCUACCUUAGCAAGAGCUCACCUAACCAAUUCUAGGAGGAAGGUCACACAAACCUAUGCCACUAGUACUUUGCAAAUCGGGGAGCUCCUAUACAACUAGUAAGCAAAGCACAAAGCUCCUAAGCUCACUGGCAAUGCUCAAUAACAAGGCAACCAAUGCCAAACUAGAGAGCACAAAUUACUUAGCUACAUAAACUAAGAAAUGUGACUAAUAAGGUUACACAAACCAAAUUAGCCACGCAAGGGAAAUACUUCUAGCUACACAAGCAAGAAGGUAACUAGCAAGCUACACAAGCUAACUAAUUACAAGAGCAACUACACAAGCACAAGUAUAUGAAUGUAAGAACAAGCUUGUGUUAGGGACUUGCAAACCAACGGGAAGAACAAUGUUGACACAAUGAUUUUCUCCCAAGGUUCACUUGGUUGCCACCAAGCUACGUCCCCGUUGAGACAAGAUCCAAGGUUGCCGCUGGUCCUCUUGCUAGUGGUGACCCGCAAGUCACACUCUCCCACGUGGAGUGCUUACCAUAAGCUCUAGCACUUGACCUGGCCAGACCACUUGUCGCUCUUCACGUCUCGCUCAACUAGAGUUGCUCUUCGCAGUCCCCGCGGGGUGAGCACCGUACCCCUCAUCUCUUCUCUGGAGCACCGCACAAUCUCCUUGGGUGCUUCGAUGGAGUCACAAGCCACCAAGCCAUCUAGGAGGUGGCAACCUCCAAGAGUAACAAGCACCACCGGCUUGCAACACAAACACCUAGUGCCACUCGAUGCAAUCUCUCAAUGCAACGCACUAGAAUCGCUCACUCACACAAUCGGAUGAUCACUAUCAAGCAUAUGUAAGUUAGAGUCUUCACUAGCACUCCCCAACCAUGGACACUAAGUCCCAAGGGUGCUCAGCACUAGCCAAGGCCAACCACCACUUCUAUUUAUAGCCCCAAGGGCUAAAAUAGCCGUUACCCCUUCACUGGGCAAAAGUCGUGCACACUGAACCCACUGCAGGGAGCCACCGAAUGCUAGAACAGUGCGUCCGGUGCUCCAGAAACAGCUACGUGUCACUAGCCGUUUGAACUCGACCAUUGCCGCCAACAGCUAGCACAUGCUCAUGCCUGACACAGCACCACCGGACGCUCUACUGGUUCACACCGGACGCGUUCGGUGCACACUGGACUCAUGCGCAGAGAGCACCGCAAACCUGCAGGGUCACUAGACAUACACGAGCAACCACACCGGACGCGUCCGGUGCAGACCGGACCCGUGCGCAGAGAGCACUACAAACUUGCAGGGUCACCGGACACGAGCUACUGGACGCACCCUGAGCGUCCGGUGCUCUUCAGUCAGAAACACUCCCUGACAUCAAGCCACACCGGACGUGCGAACAGUAUCCUACCCGCGUCCGGUGCCAGCAUCUAGCGACAAAUAUGGAGAAUAUCAAGAAUACUGUUUUAUUAUAUAUUGGAACAUAGUUACAACAUGGCUUACAUCUAUUACAAAGCAUAGCAGAAACUAAUCCUAUUCUUCACUUUGGGUCUCUAUUUUCCACAGGGACGGUUGACUAGGGGUACACUCGCCUAGUUCUCUUGGAACAUUUCAGCAAACUCCACCUUUGACUCACCAUCUGGUACCCAUCCGGGAUUUUUGAUUGUUGAAUGUAAAGCAAGUGUGAGCGCACCAUACUCAACAAGUAUAACAUGAGGGGAUGCAAGACUCAAAAGGCUGGACACAGCUGAACUGCGAUAAGCAUUUUUAGUUGGUCAUAUUUUAUUAUUUUAAACCUGAGUAACUAAGUUAUGCUUAAGCUCCCAAGGUGAUAAGUAUAAUUAUCAUAAAAAUUAAUCAUCACCCAAACCAUCCAUAGAACCAUCUAUCUCGAAAAGGAUCCAGACCGCUCUUGACCGAGAGCACGGCUAAUAUAUCAGUUUUUAUAACUCUGCAGAGUAUGUACAUCUUUACCCAUGAGUCGUGAUUGCCCUUUGCCUGAGGGGGCCAACCUCUUGACUCACUUCCAAGGUAAGUCGGCAGGGAUCACUACGUAACCUUUCACUAGACACCCUAACAAGUUAGUGGCCGUGAGGUUUCAGUGGCAAGUGUGCAUAGAGACCUCCUCCAAGAGGCACAUGUGGUCGCGGCACUGUACACACCAAGGUAGGAGAAAAACUAUACACCACGAGGCACCCCCUCUUGCGCCUUUUGGUAACCACUAACAAGCUAGAGACAUACUAGAUACUUGAUUAAGAUCAGAGCCAUGUGAUUCUUAUGGUUGUACUGUAAGUCCUGGGUUGCCGCUUUAAGAUUCAGUCCUUACGGAGGACAGACUAGAGCACCCAAAAAGGCCCAAUGCUCUAGCCCCCUGAUAUCCAUGUUGCUAGAAAGCAUCAUUAUAAUAUUGAUUCCAUAAUCAUUAAUCAAUAUUAAUAAUAUAUAUUUUGGUGAUUGCAGACUAAGCAAACUACCCAUAUGCAUAACCCAUGGUAACAAGGAAUUCAGGAUAACAAAGUUUCUAGGUAAGUCCUUAGGGGGUUAUCAUAUUAGUCACAUGCAUAUGAAAAGGUGAUUAUAAAGUUAUUAGGUAUCAAGGGUUCUCAUGUUACACUUGCCUCAAAUAGUGCUCAAACUUGUCCAACUUUCCUUCUGAAUCAUCCUCGCAUACCUCCUCGUUUAUAGAUCACAACAACCAGCACAAGCACCAUAAAAGAAACCUAAAAACAAUACAUCAAGCAUUAUGAAACAAGACUUUAAGGUUUUAAACAUGUAGGUCUGCAACUACAAACGUUUGAGCGCACAAACAACUAAGCAAAACUACUAUAACAGGGUAUGAAGGAUCAAAGGUAGAAGUUAGAGGGUUCGGUAAAUGAUAGGAAUGGAAUAAACAUGAUGGACAUGACUAACUUGAAAUAUUUAUACAACUUAAGGAUUUAUAAGUGAGAGGUACAUGAUUAUAGAAGUGUAUACAAGAUGGAUAUGAUUUUAGGGAGAAUGAAGUAAACAUACAAAGAUUGGCAAGGAGGAAACAUAUACAUGAUAGUGACUACGCAAGAGUGAGAUGGUAUAAUAGACAAGAAUGUUUAUUUCUAGCCAUAGAACAUGAAGACCUCAAAACAAUGGUAGUGGUUGGCAAUGAUCGAAUUUGCCAACAGCGAGGAUAUGAUGGUUAGAUGGCAAAAAGUGAGGAUGAACCCAUAGCUUAGGUUCGGCAACCUACUUUAGGAUAUGAUGAUGAUCAUUUGGAUUUGUGAAAUGGAUACUUUGGAACAUAUUUAGACAAGUGGCUGCAGCAGUGUGAAUGCUACAUAAAAGGGUAAUGCGUUUAUGGUGAUUUGCGCACCGGUUGAGCAUACCCCGUGGCGCAUGGACAAUGGUGGUUAGUGGCAGAUGUGACCAUAAAAAAGCAAGGCCUCACUGAACCUCUAGGCUUGAAAUAUGGUAGGAUGAUGUGCAACUAAGAAACACUCAUCCUUACGAGAGGGCUCAGUGAUUGAUAUAGUGGUUUAACAAGGAACAUGGCGAAACAUCGAUGCAUCCAAGACAUGCACGUUGGCAGACAGCGAUGGUUUUGAUGAGUGGUUGCAUGGUUAUAACAGAACCUGAAUAGUGAUGAAUUUUGUGAUGUUGUUGGGGAAUAUAUUGAGUAUGCUACUGCAAAAGAACAUGAUGUUUCAACCUUUCGUUUGCCGGGAAACAAGAAUACAAAGCGAGUCACAUAACUGUUUUCUGGACAAUAGGGAAGACAAAUAUAGAGACACCAAUAUCUCGGCCAUCGUGGCACCUAUGGUCAAACCAGCUUGCAAAGGCGUGUGCAUAUUCACGAUACACAUGUGGGUAAAUUGAUUUGUUAAACGGAGUAACAGAUUUUUGGCAACACGCGCAUCAACUGACUGCACCGCGGCUGCGGGGCAGCAGGGACAGCGAGCACAAGAAAAAUGAUAUUUCUUUUAUCUUGAAUCCUAUUGCCAUGAAAUUUCUCAGGGGCAUGUGCAAGGAUAUGAAACAAAUUGUGGUUGAAGAACACAAUCACUGGAGUGAUGAAACAUCGGGAAUAUGCAUGCCAAACAACAGCUGCACGGUUGCAUGGCUGCAGGAACAGCAAGCACAAGAACAAGUAUAUCUCCUUCAUCUUGAAUUAUCUGGUCAUGAAAUUUUACUGAGACGUGUGCCACUGAAUGAUCAACAUCAUGUUCAAAGAUCUCUAUGACCGAAGGGCGGGAACUCUAGGAAUGUGCAUGCCAAAUUGGCAGCAGCGCUGCUGUCCGCAAAAGGCAAAGACAUGAUUGUUAUGAAACAUCGCCGGAAUUUGACCAUGCACAAAUUAUGGCACAUGUUCUACAAUGAAAAACAUAUUAAAAAUAUGAAGAACAUGGUGGUCGUCACAUCGGGGUUAGCUGCAGCUAGAGAUGAAGUUGACGGUGGCUGACAUCGAUGAUGGGUGUUGACGGGGACUGCGAUCAACGGGACAGCACCGAUUGCGCUCCAUAGAUAAUAUAUGCCACAUGAAAGAUCAAAGGCACGGAUGAGAUGGACAAGAACAGUAAGAUCAGAGAAUGGAGAGGAAGGGGCGUCCUCACCAUGGAAGUGAACAUAUGAUCUGUACAAGACGUCGAUGGUGGCCUGCAUGGCUGCAUUUAUUUGGGGUUGAUGCUAUGGUAAACAACCAUCUAGGUUGCCGUGGUUGAAUCAAUUGGAAGAUGAUGUGCACCAAGAUGAAAUCCACACAAAGGUGCAGCACCAUGAUAUGGCCUGGAUAAGGAUGCAACAACCAUGGAGAUUACCGGCAGAAUGUCAACAACCGGGCUGCGGUCUUUGAUUUGAGACCUUCCUGUGUUACCAGACAGAGAUUCAGAGAGGGAUGAGUGAUGAACAAGGUGCUGCUCAGAGACAUAGGGAGAAAGGAGAGACUUUACCACAGGUGAGAUCAAAGGUUGUGAUCCUCAUACAUAGCUUGCUUCAUCUUGAAGAUGAUCACUGCAGCAGCAAGACAGAAUUGUAGACACAUUUUUCUUUCUGUUUUGAUGGAGAGGAGGGAGAGGAAGUUGGAGCUGCAGACAUGGGGAAGGAAGAGGAACAGAGGGAGCUCGCCCCUUCUGUUUCUUGAUGUGAAUAGGAGGAGGGGGCAGCGCUGGUUUCUGAUGGGAGAAAAAUAAAGGAGAGACAAGGCUGCUUCUAUUGCCAUCAAAGGUGUAAUAGAAAUAUUAAGAGAGAGGUGCAUGCAGGGUUAUUAAGGGGAGGGGAAUAAUUGUGGCUGUUUUGCAUGCAAGGAAGUGAAGCAGGCGGCAUAGGGGAGAAGAGAGACCAUGGAGAUGGUGCCCAUAUGCGUGAUGGAGGGAGGGAGGAGAUGAGGGUGCUGCUUCUCUGGUGGUGGCGUGAGGGAGAGAGGAGAAGGCAGAUAUAGCUGCCAUUUGUUGCAUGGAUGCAUGCAAUUGAAGUGUGAUUAAAUGGAG
rnacentral:lncRNA from 1 species